CCUACGGGUGGCAGCAGGGAGGAAUAGUGGGCAAUGGCCGGAAGGCUGAACCAGCCAAGGGGCGGGAAGGAAGAAGGAGCGAUGGUGUGUAAACUUCGGUUAUAGGGGAAUAAAGGUAAACACGUGUGGAUAUUUGCAUGUACCCUAUGAAUAAGCAUAGGCUAACUCCGUGCCAGCAGCCGCGGUAAUACGGAGGAUGCGAGCGUUAUCCGGCUUUAUUGGGUUUAAAGGGUGCGUAGGUUGUUUUUUAAGUCAGCGGUGAAAGUUUGUGUCUCAACCAUAAAAUUGCCGUUGAAACUGGCAGCCUUGCGUGUGUUUGCGGUCGGCGUCAUGCGUGUUGUCGCGGUGCCAUGCAU
rnacentral:rRNA from 1 species